CUCCGGAGAGCCCCGGACGGCGGGACCCGGCUCGGGCGCAGGGGCGUCGUCGCCCACGAGCCUGUCGAAGAAGUCGGCGUCGGUGAGGUCGUCGGCCAUCUCCCGCCCAGCGGGUGUCGGCGCGAGAUCUCGCGUCUGUGGGGGCGCGCGGAUCUACCUAGGGCCCGCCCCGCCCCGCCGCCCCGAGAUCCGCUCGCUCGCCCGCUCGCCCGUCCCCGGCGCGACAAGACAAGGACGGUGGGCGGUUGCGGUGGCUGGCUGGCUGGCUGGCUCGGGAGGGCGACAGCCGACGUCGCGUGCGUCAUGGGCUGCUCAUGGCGCCACCGGUUUGCAUUUGCAUUGCAUUUUUCUUUUUCUCUCCCUGUCUGCGUGUGGUGUGGUGGCACCGAUCGAGCUUUCGUUUCCUCUUGUUUUGUUCCACCUUUUUCUUUCCCCGGCUGAUUUUAAUCUCUUUCCCCGGCGGUGGAGCAGUGAGUGAAGCAGACAAGAUUCUCCUCCCCUGACCCCAUCCACCGGAGAUGCCCACUUAUAAUUAUUCAUACACAAAUUGCAGUAUAUGCAUCCAGGUUAAUUAGAGGGUGCUUGGAUACGUUUUAG
rnacentral:lncRNA from 1 species